UACGGGGGGGGUAAGCGUUGUUCGGAAUUACUGGGCGUAAAGGGCUCGUAGGCGGCCAACUAAGUCAUACGUGAAAUCCCUCAGCUUAACUGGGGAACUGCGUGUGAUACUGGAUGGCUUGGAUUUGGGAGAGGGAUGCGGAAUUCCAGGUGUAGCGGUGAAAUGCGUAGAUAUCGGAGGAAGACACCAGUGGCGAAGGCGACUCCUGGC
rnacentral:rRNA from 1 species